UACAGAGGUCCCGAGCGUUGUUCGGAUUCACUGGGCGUAAAGGGUGCGUAGGUGGCUUUGCAAGUCUGAUGUGAAAUCUCCAGGCCCAACCUGGAAACUGCAUUAGAAACUGUGAGGCUAGAGGCUUGGAGGGGGGAACUGGAAUGCUCGGUGUAGCAGUGAAAUGCGUAGAGAUCGAGCGGAACACCAGUGGCGAAGGCGAGUUCCUGGACAAGUCCUGACACUGAGGCACGAAAGCCAGGGGAGCAAACAGG
rnacentral:rRNA from 1 species